rnacentral:misc_RNA from 1 species
GAUGAAGAACGUAGCGAAAUGCGAUACGUAAUGUGAAUUGCAAAUUCAGUGAAUCAUCGAGUCUUUGAACGCACAUUGCGCCCCCUGGUAUUCCGGGGGGCAUGCCUGUCCGAGCGUCAUUGCUGCCCUCAAGCACGGCUUGUGCGUUGGGCCCCGUCCUCCGAUCCCGGGGGACGGGCCCGAAAGGCAGCGGCGGCACCGCGUCCGGUCCUCGAGCGUAUGGGGCUUUGUCACCCGCUCUGUAGGCCCGGCCGGCGCUUGCCGAUCAACCCAAAUUUUUAUCCAGGUUGACCUCGGAUCAGGUAGGGAUACCCGCUGAACUUAAGCAUAUCAAUAGCGGAGGA